rnacentral:rRNA from 1 species
UACGUAGGGUGCGAGCGUUGUCCGGAAUUAUUGGGCGUAAAGAGCUCGUAGGCGGCCUGUCGCGUCGGAUGUGAAAGCCCGGGGCUUAACCCCGGGUCUGCAUUCGAUACGGGCAGGCUAGAGUUCGGUAGGGGAGAUCGGGAUUCCUGGUGUAGCGGUGAAAUGCGCAGAUAUCGGGAGGAACACCGGUGGCGAAGGCGGUUCUCUGGGCCUUACCUGACGCUGAGGAGCGAAAGCGUGGGGAGCGAACAGG